rnacentral:rRNA from 1 species
UACGUAGGGGGCUAGCGUUGUCCGGAUUUAUUGGGCGUAAAGAGCGCGUAGGCGGCCAGGUAGGUCUGCUGUGAAAACUCGAGGCUCAACCUCGAGACGUCGGCGGAAACCAUCUGGCUAGAGUCCGGAAGAGGAGAGUGGAAUUCCUGGUGUAGCGGUGAAAUGCGCAGAUAUCAGGAAGAACACCCGUGGCGAAGGCGGCUUGCCAGAACGCACUCGACGGUGAGGGAUGAAAGCUGGGGGAGCAAACCGG